GUGCCAGCAGCCGCGGUAAUACGUAGGUGGCAAGCGUUAUCCGGGGUUAUUGGGCGUAAAGCGCGCGUAGGCGGUUUCUUAAGUCUGAUGUGAAAGUCCACGGCUCAACCGUGGAAGGUCAUUGGAAACUGGGGAACUUGAGUGCAGAAGAGGAGAGUGGAAUUCCAUGUGUAGCGGUGAAAUGCGCAGAGAUAUGGAGGAACACCAGUGGCGAAGGCGGCUCUCUGGUCUGUAACUGACGCUGAUGUGCGAAAGCGUGGGGAUCAAACAGGAUUAGAUACCCUGGUAGUCCACGCCGUAAACGAUGAGUGCUAAGUGUUAGGGGGUUUCCGCCCCUUAGUGCUGCAGCUAACGCAUUAAGCACUCCGCCUGGGGAGUACGACCGCAAGGUUGAAACUUAAAUAAAUUGGCGG
rnacentral:rRNA from 1 species